CAAGAAGAAAAGAAAGCAGGGAAACGUUACAAGUGUGUAUCCAGGAGAAGAAUAAACUGGUAUGCAUCCCUUAUCUGUUGCUCCAUCGCCCUUUUUUGAUUUGGCUAAAUCUAAUGUGGACCUGCCAGGAGCAGAGCUGCUUUGUUACAAGGAGACUCCUCCCCUGAAGACCUAACAGGUACCUGCUCUUCUGUGAAGCUUUACCUGAUGUCCCUCCUUGAUGAGAAGAUGCUUUCAUAUAGUCCUAGAACAUUUUGUAUAGAUCUCUUCUGUGCCUUCAUCACACCUGUCAUGUAAUAUCUAUGUGACAAUCUCCCUAGCAGAAUA